rnacentral:rRNA from 1 species
GUAGUCAUAUGCUUGUCUCAAAGGUUAAGCCAUGCAUGUCUAAGUAUGAACACGCUUUGUACGGUGAAACUGCGAAUGGCUCAUUAUAUCAGUGAUCAUUUAUUUGAUGAUGCCUUACUACGUGGAUAACCGUGGUAAUUCUAGAGCUAAUACAUGCACACGACUCCCGACUCGCGAGGGAAGGGAGGUAUUUAUUAGGUAAGAACCAGCCCUGGCAACAGGAGCUCUGGUGAUUCAUGAUAACUGCACGAAUCGCACGGCCUUGCGCUGGCGAUGGAUCAUUCAAAUUUCUGCCCUAUCAACUUUUGAUGGUAGGAUAGAGGCCUACCAUGGUCGCAACGGGUAACGGGGAAUGG